GUCUCUCUUUUCCCCUUUACUUCUUUUCUGGUGGGAGUGAGAGAAGUUGUUGGGUGGAUGGGUUGGCAUUGGGCAAUACAUCGGUAGUUAUUUGAAAAUCCUUUGAAAUGUGCGACUCUGGGAACUUCUUGAUAUUUAUUCAUUGUCUAGAUUUGAAAUCCAGAAUGGUUGGCUUUUACACUUUCGCUCAGAUAAAUAGGUAUGUGUGCCUUGUAGCUGUGUUAGAUCUCAACCAUUGCUUUACAUGCAAGAAGAUGAUCAGUUGAUUACCUUCCUUUUGCCUAAGUUCCAGUUGGUAGGAAGAUAGUAUAUCAGCUUAAGUUCCAUUUGUCAAGGAAAUAGGAUAUCAACAUACUGAAAUGGAAAGCAAACUUCAUGCCAACUUUUUGGGCGUCAUUGCCUUGUGCACCUAGACUUUAGAGGGAAGGAACAGCACAGUUAUUUUUGGUAGCUUGAUCUUAUUCUAUUAAACAUAAUUGCUGAUAGGCAUUUUACUUGUUCUCAAAUCCAUGCUGUUGGUGGUUUUUUUCCAAAAAUAUUCUUUAAGUGGGAGUUUAUGGAAUAUCAUAUGGUCUUAGCAGCUAUUUUCCCUCUGUGGCUAGGGCCACAGCCUUGGAAUUGAAUAAAAGUAAAGGACUAAAAAGCCCUUCAAUGCCCAUUCUCUCUGUUUGCCAGUUUGCCUGCUAUCUUUGCACUAUAGACAUUGCAUUUUUUUUUUAAUUUUUUCGAAGAGCAAUUGGAAUACGAUACCAUGACUAUAUGAACAGA
rnacentral:misc_RNA from 1 species